AAGAGAUCAUAACAUCUUUCAAAAUGAUGUAGAAAUGGCUCAUUCGUACACAGAAAGAUGAUUAAUAUCAACAGUUGUCGGAAGCAUAAUGUUAUUUUCAUUACCUGUAACCAAAGAAAUGGAAUAGAAGCACCUAUUCACUUAGCUACUUCAUCUCAAGAAAGGUCCCUGAUUUCUCUGUCACCAUCUGAUACAAAUCCUUUUGUCUGCUUAAGCGUUGCUGAAAGUAAAAGCUCUCUACUUUUUUGUGAUUAUUAGAAGACAGGUUUUGGGGAAGAUAAACACAACCAUACAUGAAGUACCUUUUUAACUUCCCACCAGGGAGGAGAUUGUGACUGAACUGAUAAAUAGGUUUAUGACAGAAGAGACUAUGGCAAAGACCUGCAAGUGAGUGCUCGGCAGCUUCCUGGUUCCUGCAUUUCGAGGAUGUAAGAAGUCCAGUUGGACCCUCUGGGCAAGAGUGCAUAAACAAUGAAACAAAUUUCCCUGCUGUGGCACCAGUUUGGCAACUUCUGAUCCACCAGUUCACUGCAAGGAGAGAAGACCUCGCUUCAUAAGUGUUCAGUGUCGUGCUUUGCUGUGGUUUCCAGAUGUUUUAAUUACAUAGCCUAACGUAGAACUUGAAGAUGAACUUCAAAAUUGAGCAGAAAAGUUACAGACAGCUGGUGUGCUGUCAAGCCUAAUAAGCUGAACCUCUUGCAUUACCAGCAAUUUACUUUCAUUGUCCUCAGCCCUCAGCAUGGCCAAGAUUAGGAGAGAGGGUCAGCGGUACCCACAUGGUAAACCCCACCGAAGGAAGCGAAGUAAACGGCAAUGUUCAUUUAUUUUUACCAUUGAUGAAUGACACUUGAUAGGAAUAUUUUUAACAUAUUUGUUUGAAAAUCGUUCCUGACACAUAGGUGACAUUUUUGAUUUGUAACAUUAUCGCAGGACAAGGACUCAUUUUCUAACCGUUCCUUGCUGCAGUCCUCGCUGUCCCUUUGUUAUUACUUGUCACUGGGGAACCCUGAUUACAUAUGUUCUUCACAGUAUGUGUAUAUUACCCAGAGGCUAAUUGUUCUUCUCAGUUAGUCUUCUAAAUUGGAAUUUCUGCUAAAAUGCAGUUUACAUGUGUAUUUCCCUAUGACUUAAUUGAAGUAUCUCUGUAAAGUUUGUGAAUCAAAAUUGUUGAUGGUUCCUAGUGUAUUAGUCAGCUUUGCUGUCCCUGAAAGAAAUGCAUGACCCCACAAUGUAAAGGAGCAGAGGCUUGAGGUGACCCUUGCUUUCAUCUUUGUAGACGAUGGCCAUCCGGCUGCAAAGCAGACAUAGCAUGGCAAAGGGUGUGGCUGAGGACAGCUGCGCAUGCCUUGGCAGCCAGAAACACAGAGCGAGUGAGAAAGUGGAAGCAGCACGAUUCAGGAUAGCUGGAAUCCCCAAAAUGAGCACAAUUGUUAGGUACUGCAAACAUGUAAUAAUAAAAAAUAGAAUUAAAAAAAAAAAAAAGAACUGAAGAGCUGGGGACAGGCCUAAACGGCUUCAGUUCAUGGUCAGUGACCCAUGUCGAAGGAAUCCCUAACAGUACAUUUAGUGCUAGGUGUCCGUGGUGCUGACAGUUUCCAAACACUCUCCCUCUGAACAGAUUCUUCUGAUCUGAAGUAAUGUCCGAGGAAAUCCAUACAAGUAAGCCUUGGUCUCUCCUCGUAAAAGGCUAUUUAAAUCCUUUUUUUUUUCUUUUUUUUUUGCCCAAACUUUUAAAUACUAUUAAAUGCAUAUAAAUUCUACAAGUUAAUGGGUUCCACUAGGACAUUUUCACACAUGCAUGUAUAGUGAUUUCAUUGUUUCCACCACUUUUACAUCUGCUUUUACCCUCUGCUUUCUCACCACUCCCCCUGACCCAAGUCACUGCACUCUCCUACUUUUAUGUAAUUUAGCUACACUUUCUGUUCUGUUUUUCACAUGUGAAAGAAACCUUGCCAGACUUACUUUUCUGUCUGGCUUCUACUGCUCCAUAGGAUAAUGUCCAGUUUCAUCCAUUUUUCUUGCAAAUAGUAAGACUUCAAACUUCCUUAAAGUAAAUAAUUCUCCAGUGUGUACAUGUACCUCAUUCAUGUAUCCAUUCACAUUUUUGGCUAGUUAAAAAUUGCCACAUUAAACAUGGGG